CCUACGGGUGGCUGCAGUCGAGAAUCUUCCCCAAUGGCCGAAAGGCUGAGGGAGCGACGCCGCGUGCAGGAUGAAGGGCUUAGGCUCGUAAACUGCUUUUAUUAGGGACGAAUGUUGACGGUACCUAAUGAAUAAGAGGUUGCUAACUCUGUGCCAGCAGCAGCGGUAAUACAGAGACCUCAAACGUUGUCCGGAUUUACUGGGCGUAAAGGGUUCGUAGGCGGUCUGAUGCGUCAGUGGUCAAAUCUUGGAGCUCAACUCCAAGACUGCCGCUGAUACGGUCAGACUAGUGCAUGGGAGAGGCGAGCGGAAUUACCGGUGUAGUAGUAAAAUGCGUUCAUAUCGGUAAGAACACCAAAUGCGAAGGCAGCUCGCUGGAACAUUGCAGACGCUAAGGAACGAAAGCGUGGGUAGCGAAAGGGAUUAGAUACCCUAGUAGUC
rnacentral:rRNA from 1 species